rfam:Macrostomum lignano uti_cns_0016224, whole genome shotgun sequence.
GUGGGCUACGGCGACAAGGUGCCGAAGGGCCCGCUGGGCAAGAUCGUCGGCUCCGUGUGCGCCGUGGCGGGCGUGCUGACCCUGGCGAUCCCCGUGCCGAUCAUCACGGAGAAC